GAUCCUGGCUCAGGAUUAACGCUGGCGGCGUGCAUAACACAUGCAAGUCGAACGAUGAAACUUAGUAGACUUCUUCGGAAAGACACUAAGCGGAUUAGUGGCGAACGGGUGAGUAACGCGUGAGUAACCUGCCUUACACAAGGGGAUAGCCUUUGGAAACGAAGAAUAAUACCCUAUAAAACCAUAAAAGCACAUGCUAGAAUGGUCAAAGUGAUAGCGGUGUAAGAUGGACUUGCGUCUGAUUAG
rnacentral:rRNA from 1 species